UACGUAGGGAGCAAGCGUUGUCCGGAAUCAUUGGGCGUAAAGCGCGCGUAGGUGGUCCCGUAAGUCCGCUGUGAAAGUCAAAGGCUCAACCUUUGAAAGCCGGUGGAUACUGUGGGACUAGAGUACGGAAGAGGCGAGUGGAAUCUCGGUGUAGCGGUGAAAUGCGUAGAUAUCGAGAGGAACACCUGCGGCGAAGGCGGGUUGCUGGGCUGAUACUGACGCUGAGGCGCGAAAGCCAGGGGAGCGAACGGG
rnacentral:rRNA from 1 species